GAUGAACGCUGGCUACAGGCUUAACACAUGCAAGUCGAGGGGAAACGGCAUUGAGUGCUUGCACUGAAUGGACGUCGACCGGCGCACGGGUGAGUAACGCGUAUCCAACCUUCCCGUUACUGCGGGAUAACCUGCCGAAAGGCAGACUAAUACCGCAUGUUCUUCGAUGACGGCAUCAGAUUCGAAGCAAAGAUCCGUCGGUAACGGAGGGGGAUGCGUCUGAUUAGCUAGUUGGCGGGGCGACGGCCCACCAAGGCGACGAUCAGUAGGGGUUCUGAGAGGAAGGUACCCCACAUUGGAACUGAGACACGGUCCAAACUCCUACGGGAGGCAGCAGUGAGGAAUAUUGGUCAAUGGGCGGAAGCCUGAACCAGCCAAGUAGCGUGCAGGAUGACGGCCCUACGGGUUGUAAACUGCUUUUAUGCGGGGAUAAAGUGAGGGACGCGUCCCUUUUUGCAGGUACCGCAUGAAUAAGGACCGGCUAAUUCCGUG
rnacentral:rRNA from 1 species